UAGCGAGGCACUACACGUGUGCAGUUACACUGAGAGAAUCUUAUCUCGGACACAGUGCUUCUGAAGGAGGUAGCGACGCCACCUUCAGGGUGACCCAGAAGACAAUCACAUAACAGGGGCGACACACUGCGUUACAUCUCCAUCAUGCUCGAUGGCUAGCGCACUCACCUCACACACGGAGGUCCGGAGUUGGAAUCUCCUCAACAUACGUGCACACGGUGGGUGUCUGGGCACCCGGAGGGCUCCAGGUGGCAACAAUCAACAGCCCCUCCCAGCAGACAUAGGUGACAGCUGCCGCGCCUUUACAGAGGGACUGGGAUCUUCAGUCAACUUGGCGUCCACCAGGACGUUGACAAGUCCCCAGGGCGGCUCUCCCUCGGGCUGCUAGCGGAGUCGUGGCCUCUUGGAGAGGAUGGUGCUCCUGCAAACAACAGAUCCCGGGGCAACUUGCUGCUGUUUGCAAUGGCUGUCUGGCUGUCCUGCCGAGGAGGGACAGGCACCUAGCAACAUCUGUUGGCAAUGGAUGAAUUCCCUACAAUGUUUGUCAACUGAUCAUUACUCUGAUAAUUGUUCAUGAUUGUAAUCAUGUGUUCACGAUCUAUUACCUUUGAAACUUGUCAUGAUUGUAACCAGCUCUACCUGGAGCUCAUUACCUUUUUCAAUUCUCAUUAUUGUAACCAGAUCUAGUUCAUUACCUUUGUAAUUAGUCAUGAGUGUGACCAGCUGUACCUGGAACUCAUUACCUUUGUAACUUGGUCACGAUUGUGACCAGAUCUAGUUCAUUACCUUCGUAACUUGUUCAGCUAUCAAAACUUUGGAGUCCAGUCCCUGGACCAAUUAUGUACCUCUGUAAUCUUUUGACUACCACCCACAGGAUGGGUAUGUGGUGACUAGCGCCCACAGGAUGGGUAUGGGGUGCAUAAUAAACAUAUUAAACUAAAACUAACUCCGGUACAGCUGGAUAACAUUA